CUGCUGUAAUGCAUAUAUGAAUAGAGUCAAAUGUUCCAGAUUCAAUAAUGCAACACGACGUCGACCAUUAAUCAACACGUAUUAAAAUCCCAUUUAUCUUUCUUAAACUCUAUUAAGCCAUUUCCAUUAUAUGGAUGAUAAAAAUAACAGACAUUUACACAUAUUAACAGCUCAUAAUUCAUGGGUCAUUCUGUUUAGUAUUGGAGAACAGCGACAAACUCUACUGCUUCGCUGCGCUGGCAGACAAUCCUUGACCUCAUCAGAAGAAUGCAGAUUAGUAGUACGACAACAUUCGUAUAAAUACGGUCGUUUUUCUCCCAGAAGGAUCUUUUACUUUAUAAAAAUUCUAAAUCCUUUACAAAUAUUAAAACACCGAGUAACUCAAAUAAUCCAAAUUGUGAAAAUGGUGGUCCAACGAAAAUCAUCAGUUUCCAACUCUGUCGUCAUCGUGGCAGUGAUUUUAGUGGUUUUUGGCCAGAUCAUCGGACCUGUCCAUGGAGGUCCGAAAGAUUGCGUGAAAUGGUGUGAUAGUGAGUACGUCGCUUGUGUCAAUCAAGUUGCUCUGAGGAUGCCGUCCGACGUGGAGGAAUACACCCCGUGUCACGUAACUUGGGAAUAUUGCGAGGACACUUGCCACUCGGACAAAUAGCAGCAGAAUAAUUUACUGAUUUUUACAAUUUAUCCACAAAAUGUAUCGAUUCAAUUGUAUAUUUAACUUGACGAUAAAACUGCAUAAAAACGUUUUAUCCAUCUUGUUAGAAAAACACGUGCCCAGGACUUGUUUCUUCACAUUCUUUUGAUGAACCUUAUAAAAAACUAGCCAACGACUUUUCUCCCUGCUUCUUCUUCUCCACGGCUCAUCAUCUCGUGUUCAACCCACCUUGUAAUGAACUGAAUAUUGUGUAAUAACGCAGCAAAUCAGUUAUACCACCAGACCACCACCUUCAUCAUAAAUACCUACGUAAUCAUCAGAAUAGCUGAGAACUCGAUAAUAGUUGUUGAUUGUCCACAAGGUGUGUAAUGUCUUUUGUCUCCACUCACGUAACUUAACCAUCAACAGAAACAAACCACUUCAUGACGACAUUAGUGAUCAUCUCACCUUACCUCCACACAAUCCACGCCAUCAUCAUCAUUAACCACUAUCCAGGACGGUAUCCAUUGUGUUUCUGGUAGUACUACGAACGAACGUAUGUAAUUUGCGAUGAUCUUCUUCUUCUUGUUCCCUUGUUCUUUGUCAUUUAAAAAAUGUUUCUCUCUCCUCUGUCGGUCGUAUUGUAUCGAGUAAGCGACAAGUAAUUACCUUUCUGUCUUUCCAUCUCGGAUUCAUGAGACGAAUCCGUGCUGGCUCUUGGAGAUAUUAUCUACCUCUACCCACACAAUAGGAUGGAAUGGAUGGACGCAUAAGGUGAUGAGAUUUUGAAAAGAGACAAACACAACACCAAUACUUACCUGAUGAACACUUUCCGCUUAAACGAGUCAUACAAACCCUUGUUGUAAGUACGCUAAGGAAAACAAAGAAUGGUCGUUGUUGCCUGGAGCCUAAUACAUAAAUACCCACCGAAUCAUUAGAUUGGACCCGAUGUUACUAUAUUGUCUGAUAUGUGUAUGUAUCUAGAAAAGCAAAAUAAAAAUUAUAACAUGGAAAUAUAAUAUGCUAAAUUUUUGAAAUUGCAGAAUUUUGAGUAAAAUUUUAAUGUUGUAGAAUACUUACUUGUAAAAAUGGUGACCUUUAAUCCCACAGAAGGAAAAGGAGAUGACUCCUCGAUCGUCGGGGACUCUGUUUUUUCGUAGUAGUGCCCCCAUGGGGCAAAAUCGUAUGGUUGUGGUGAAUGUUGAAAGGUUUCCGAAACUCCAGGAAGACCAUAUUUACGGGAAUGAGACUGUCAAUUCUGGACAUUUUAGAUUUCCACAGGAUUCGAGGGUUUAGCUCUAGUUUUUCGAUUUUUAACCAAAAGAGCCGACAGAGAAGGUUGCUUUCCGUGACUUCUUCUCCUACAUAAAUAUAAUAUACUCGCAUUUCUUUACAACUUGGGGGCAUGGAUUAUCAUUAUUUCUACUACUGCAUACAAUACAUACCCUCUCAAGAAGGACGGCGAUGUAACCAAUGUAUAAAAAGGAUACAAUCCUCAAGCCCAACGUGCAUGACGGGUGACAAUGAAAAUUACAGUGUCGAGGCGAAAGAGCGAUGAGACAAAAUAAGAACAAUGGAAACGACAGCGAAUGAAUAAGCUCCCUUAAAAUAGAAAAAGGACUCUCUCAUCUCGAAAAUUGUCAGGAGAGUCGGUCAGGAACGACGACGACAUACGUAUUUAUUUAUGUAGCAUAUGGUCACAUUAUACGUUCAUACGACCUCACACAUUUAUUUCUCUCAAGACACAAGAAGACGACGAUCGUAAAGCAAAGCCCAUUACGACCAAUUCCAAUUUCGGAUUUCAAGCAGGGCAGAGACAAAGGUAGGAAUAAAAAUGCUUAAGAAAUGGAUGGAAUACGGUUGGUCGUUGGGGAGCAGCAGCCAAGAAAGUGAAACCCAUCAUCAUCAUCAUUGUCAUUGUAGUUGUCAUUUUUUAUCUCCCAUAUACCACCAAAACCACUGAUGAGAUGACGAUGAUUAUGUCGCCCCUGAGUGUACUGACUACACUUGAAGAAAGAAGGACAAGACAACAUGUGUGUGUCGUAGAUAAGUUCAUAAACCAAGUGUGGACCGAGGACAGGGAGGAGGAUGAGAGAGUCGUAAAUUUCAGAGUUGUGGCUUUUCCGAGAGAGAGGAGGAAAAUUAUUAGGAUGAGAGAUUAUGGCAUUCCUUUCUACAGUUUGGGUAUGAUCAUUAUUAGGUCAGCCAGGUAAAGGGCAUGAAUAUCUGGCUGUGUAUGUACUUUCCAACGGGAUGGUAUUUAUGAAAAAAACGACGACGACUAACUUUUUUUUCUAGAAUCUACAUUGUUGUGUGCACGUUCCAGUUGUAAAAACAUGGAUUUUGAACACAUUCCAAGUAAAUGUGCUAAUCCUGGUGUGUAUCACAUCCCAUUAAUACUACUUUUUUCCUGGUUUCUUGUUUACACCAUGGCCAAUAAAUAGAAAUAGAUCAAACCCACAAUAUUACGUACUUACCAGUGAAACUAAAUCAAGACUGACCGACCACAUCCACAUCGUACAGCUUUGAUCUUCAAUUCGACCUAAAGUAGUUGAUCGCCUUUGGUUUUACUCUUGGUCGUCCAUCCAUCGUGAGUCAUGACUUGACUUCAUUUCAACCCAGUGUGAUUGCCACUGACUCGUAGGAUGGGAAAGAGAGUGAGAGAAUCUCAUAAAGUGGAGAGUUUACCAAAAGUAACCAAAAUACAGUGAAAUGCCAAUUAAAGUGAAAGUACAAGUCAGGCUCAACGCAAUCGGCGGCAUAUACUUAUUGAGCUGUAGCUUAUAAAUGAUAAGGAUCGAGGAAUGAUAACCACUUGUAAUCUUAUCCAUUUUGUCAUUUACAAGAUAUUUAAAUAGUUGAUUUGACGUGUAUACCAACCAACAAAUCAAAAUGUUAAUUUAUACCCCAAAUUAAUACCAAAAUAUUAUUGCAAAAUGA